rnacentral:misc_RNA from 1 species
GAAGAAGAACGUAGCGAAAUGCGAUAAGUAAUGUGAAUUGCAGAAUUCAGUGAAUCAUCGAAUCUUUGAACGCACAUUGCGCCCGCCAGUAUUCUGGCGGGCAUGCCUGUUCGAGCGUCAUUUCAACCCUCAGGCCCCCAGUGCCUGGUGUUGGGGAUCGGCCCAGCCUUCCUGUAAGGCCGCCGGCCCCGAAAUCUAGUGGCGGUCUCGCUGUAGUCCUCCUCUGCGUAGUAGCACAACCUCGCAGUUGGAACGCGGCGGUGGCCAUGCCGUUAAACACCCCACUUCUGAAAGUUGACCUCGGAUCAGGUAGGAAUACCCGCUGAACUUAAGCAUAUCAAUAAGCGGAGGA